AACGAACGCUGGCGGCAGGCUUAACACAUGCAAGUCGAACGGCUGUAGCAAUACAGCAGUGGCAGACGGGUGAGUAACACGUGGGAACCUUCCUAGGGGUACGGAACAACUCAGGGAAACUUGAGCUAAUACCGUAUACGUCCGUAAGGAGAAAGAUUCAUCGCCCCUAGACGGGCCCGCGUCGGAUUAGGUAGUUGGUGGGGUAACGGCCUACCAAGCCUACGAUCCGUAGCUGAUCUGAGAGGAUGAUCAGCCACACUGGGACUGAGACACGGCCCAGACUCCUACGGGAGGCAGCAGUGGGGAAUCUUGGACAAUGGGCGGCAAGCCUGAUCCAGCCAUGCCGCGUGAGUGAAGAAGGCCUUAGGGUUGUAAAGCUCUUUUACCAGGGACGAUAAUGACGGUACCUAGAGAAU
rnacentral:rRNA from 1 species